CUGCAGCCCGAGUGGUGAUCGAUUUUAUUGAGCCUAAAGCGUCCGUAGCCGGACUAGUAAACCCUUGGGUAAAUUGGGCAGCUUAACUGUCCAAAUUCCGAGAGGACUGCUAGUCUUGGGACCGGGAGAGGUCAGAGGUACUCAAGGGGUAGGGGCUAAAUCCUGUAAUCCUUUGGGGACCACCAGUGGUGAAGGCGUCUGACUAGAACGGAUCCGACGGUAAGGGACGAAACCCUGGGGCGCGAACCGGAUUAGAUACCCGAGUAGUCC
rnacentral:rRNA from 1 species